rnacentral:rRNA from 1 species
UACGUAGGGGCAAGCGUUAUCCGGAUUUACUGGGUGUAAAGGGAGCGCAGACGGAACUGCAAGUCUGAUGUGAAAGCCCGGGGCUCAACCGCGGGACUGCAUCGGAUACUGUGGAUCUGGAGUGCCGGAGGGGCAAGCGGAAUUCCUGGUGUAGCGGUGAAAUGCGUAGAUAUCAGGAGGAACACCGGCGGCGAAGGCGGCUUGCUGGACGGCAACUGACGUUGAGGCUCGAAAGCGUGGGGAGCAAACAGGAUUAGAUACCCCCGUAGU